GAUGAACGCUAGCGGCAGGCUUAAUACAUGCAAGUCGUGGGGCAGCAUGAGUAGCAAUACUUGAUGGCGACCGGCAAACGGGUGAGGAACACGUACACAACCUUCCUUCAAGCGGGGAAUAGCCCAGAGAAAUUUGGAUUAAUACCCCAUAAUAUAUUUGAUAAGGCAUCUUAUUAAUAUUAAAAGCUUCGGCACUUGAUGAUGGGUGUGCGGCUGAUUAGAUAGUUGGCGGGUAACGGCCCACCAAGUCUACGAUCAGUAGCUGAUGUGAGAGCAUGAUCAGCCACACGGGCACUGAGACACGGGCCCGACUCCUACGGGAGGCAGCAGUAAGGAAUAUUGGACAAUGGACGAAAGUCUGAUCCAGCCAUGCCGCGUGAAGGAUUAAGGUCCUCUGGAUUGUAAACUUCUUUUAUAUUGGGACGAAAAAAGGGCAUUCUUGUUCACUUGACGGUACCAUAUGAAUAAGCACCGGCUAACUCCGUGCCAGCAGCCG
rnacentral:rRNA from 1 species